AUUGAACGCUGGCGGCAUGCUUUACACAUGCAAGUCGAACGGCAGCGCGGGCUUCGGCUUGGCGGCGAGUGGCGAACGGGUGAGUAAUGCAUCGGAACGUGCUCAGUUGUGGGGGAUAGCCCGGCGACAGCCGGAUUAAUACCGCAUACGACCUGAGGGUGAAAGCGGGGGACCGAAAGGCCUCGCGCUAUUGGAGCGGCCGAUGUCGGAUUAGCUAGUUGGUGGGGUAAAGGCUUACCAAGGCGACGAUCCGUAGCUGGUCGGAGAGGACGACCAGCCACACUGGGACUGAGACACGGCCCAGACUCCUACGGGAGGCAGCAGUGGGGAAUUUUGGACAAUGGGGGCAACCCUGAUCCAGCCAUGCCGCGUGCGGGAAGAAGGCCUUCGGGUUGUAAACCGCUUUUGUUCGGGAAGAAAUCCUCUGGGCUAAUACCCCGGGGGGAUGACGGUACCGGAAGAAUAAGCACCGGCUAACUACGUG
rnacentral:rRNA from 1 species